rnacentral:rRNA from 1 species
AGAGUUUGAUCAUGGCUCAGAGCGAACGCUGGCGGCAGGCCUAACACAUGCAAGUCGAACGGACCCUUCGGGGUUAGUGGCGGACGGGUGAGUAACACGUGGGAACGUGCCUUUAGGUUCGGAAUAGCUCCUGGAAACGGGUGGUAAUGCCGAAUGUGCCCUUCGGGGGAAAGAUUUAUCGCCUUUAGAGCGGCCCGCGUCUGAUUAGCUUGUUGGUGAGGUAAUGGCUCACCAAGGCUACGAUCAGUAGCUGGUCUGAGAGGAUGACCAGCCACAUUGGGACUGAGACACGGCCCAAACUCCUACGGGAGGCAGCAGUGGGGAAUCUUGCGCAAUGGGCGAAAGCCUGACGCAGCCAUGCCGCGUGGAUGAUGAAGGUCUUAGGAUUGUAAAAUCCUUUCACCGGUGAAGAUAAUGACUGUAGCCGGAGAAGAAGCCCCGGCUAACUUCGUGCCAGCAGCCGCGGUAAUACGAAGGGGGCUAGCGUUGCUCGGAAUUACUGGGCGUAAAGGGAGCGUAGGCGGACAUUUAAGUCAGGGGUGAAAUCCCAGAGCUCAACUCUGGAACUGCCUUCGAUACUGGGUGUCUUGAGUGUGAUAGAGGUAUGUGGAACUCCGAGUGUAGAGGUGAAAUUCGUAGAUAUUCGGAAGAACACCAGUGGCGAAGGCGACAUACUGGAUCAUUACUGACGCUGAGGCUCGAAAGCGUGGGGAGCAAACAGGAUUAGAUACCCCGGUAGUCC